CCCUCCCCCUUCCUCCCAGCUGCAUCUCUCUGAGAAACAGGCUGUGUGUUCUCCCCUGGUCAGAUGUCCUGCUGGUCUCAGUGUUAAAGGGACAGACCGUUAAUGUGUUUGUUCCAGGCUGUGUGUUCUCCCCUGGUCAGAUGUCCUGCUGGUCUCAGUGUUAAAGGGACAGACCGUUAAUGUGUUUGUUCCAGGCUGUGUGUUCUCCCCUGGUCAGAUGUCCUGCUGGUCUCAGUGUUAAAGGGACAGACCGUUAAUAUGUGUGUGUUUGUUCCAGGCUGUGUGUUCUCCCCUGGUCAGAUGUCCUGCUGCUCUCAGUGUUAAAGGGACAGACCGUUAAUGUGUGUGUUUGUUCCAGGCUGUGUGUUCUCCCCUGGUCAGAUGUCCUGCUGGUCUCAGUGUUAAAGGGACAGAACGUGACGGGGAUCCGACCAGGAAAAGGGAAGAAGGAGCCGC